GAUGAACGCUGGCGGCGUGCCUAAUACAUGCAAGUCGAGCGAACGGACGAGAAGCUUGCUUCUCUGAUGUUAGCGGCGGACGGGUGAGUAACACGUGGAUAACCUACCUAUAAGACUGGGAUAACUUCGGGAAACCGGAACUAAUACCGGAUGAUAUUUUGAACCGCAUGGUUCAAAAGUGAAAGACGGUCUUGCUGUCACUUAUAGAUGGAUCCGCGCUGCAUUAGCUAGUUGGUAAGGUAACGGCUUACCAAGGCAACGAUGCAUAGCCGACCUGAGAGGUGGAUCGCCCACACUGAAACUGGGACACGUCCAAGACUCCUAGGGGAGGAAGCAGUAGGGAACCUUCCGCAAUGGGCGAAAGCCUGACGGAGCAACGCGGCGUGAGUAUUGAGGUCUUCGGAUCGUAAAACUCUGUUAUUAGGGAAGAACAUAUGUGUAAGUAACUGUGCACAUCUUGACGGUACCUAAUCAGAAAGCCACGGCUAACUACGUG
rnacentral:rRNA from 1 species